rnacentral:rRNA from 1 species
AUGCACGCUGGCGGCGUGCCUCAUACAUGCAAGUCGAGCGAACGGACGAGAAGCUUGCUUUUCUGAUGUUAGCGGCGGACGGGUGAGUAACACGUGGAUAACCUACCUAUAAGACUGGGAUAACUUCGGGAAACCGGAGCUAAUACCGGAUAAUAUUUUGAACCGCAUGGUUCAAAAGUGAAAGACGGUCUUGCUGUCACUUAUAGAUGGAUCCGCGCUGCAUUAGCUAGUUGGUAAGGUAACGGCUUACCAAGGCAACGAUGCAUAGCCGACCUGAGAGGGUGAUCGGCCACACUGGAACUGAGACACGGUCCAGACUCCUACGGGAGGCAGCAGUAGGGAAUCUUCCGCAAUGGGCGAAAGCCUGACGGAGCAACGCCGCGUGAGUGAUGAAGGUCUUCGGAUCGUAAAACUCUGUUAUUAGGGAAGAACAUAUGUGUAAGUAACUGUGCACAUCUUGACGGUACCUAAUCAGAAAGCCACGGCUAACUACGUG